rnacentral:rRNA from 1 species
UCUCCAGGGGGUGGAAAGAACUUUGGUCAAGGAUGGACUCGCGGCCUAUCAGGUAGUUGGUGAGGUAACGGCUCACCAAGCCGACGACGGGUAGCCGGCCUGAGAGGGUGACCGGCCACACUGGGACUGAGACACGGCCCAGACUCCUACGGGAGGCAGCAGUGGGGAAUAUUGCACAAUGGGCGAAAGCCUGAUGCAGCAACGCCGCGUGAGGGACGACGGCCUUCGGGUUGUAAACCUCUUUUAGUAGGGAAGAAGCGAAAGUGACGGUACCUGCAGAAAAAGCACCGGCUAACUACGUGCCAGCAGCCGCGGUAAUACGUAGGGUGCAAGCGUUGUCCGGAAUUAUUGGGCGUAAAGAGCUCGUAGGCGGUUUGUCGCGUCUGCUGUGAAAUCCCGAGGCUCAACCUCGGGCCUGCAGUGGGUACGGGCAGACUAGAGUGCGGUAGGGGAGAUUGGAAUUCCUGGUGUAGCGGUGGAAUGCGCAGAUAUCAGGAGGAACACCGAUGGCGAAGGCAGAUCUCUGGGCCGUAACUGACGCUGAGGAGCGAAAGCGUGGGGAGCGAACAGGAUUAGAUACCCUGGUAGUCCACGCCGUAAACGUUGGGAACUAGAUG